GACAGAGGGUGCAAACGUUGCUCGGAAUCACUGGGCGUAAAGGGUGCGUAGGCGGAUCAGUUAGUCGGGGGUGAAAUCCCGGGGCUCAACCCCGGAACUGCCUUCGAUACUGCUGGUCUGGAGUCCGAGAGAGGUGAGUGGAAUUCCGAGUGUAGAGGUGAAAUUCGUAGAUAUUCGGAGGAACACCAGUGGCGAAGGCGGCUCACUGGCUCGGUACUGACGCUGAGGUGCGAAAGCGUGGGGAGCAAACAGG
rnacentral:rRNA from 1 species